rnacentral:rRNA from 1 species
GCUGGCGGCACGCCUUAUACAUGCAAGUCGAACGAAGUAGCAAUACUUAGUGGCAGACGGGUGAGUAACAUGUAGGUAUCUUCCCUUUGGUGAGGAAUAACACGAGGAAACUUGUGCUAAUACCUCAUAAGUCUUUACAGAGAAAGCUUUAUGCGCCGAAGGAUGAGCCUGCAUUUGAUUAGUUUGUUGGUGGGGUAAUGGCUCACCAAGACUUUGAUCAAUAGCUGAUCUGAGAGGAUGAUCAGCCACAUUGGGACUGAGACACGGCCCAAACUCCUACGGGAGGCAGCAGUAGGGAAUAUUGCACAAUGGAGGAAACUCUGAUGCAGCGAUGCCGCGUGAGUGAAGAAGGCCUUUGGGUUGUAAAGCUCUUUCGUCGGGGAAGAAAAUGACUGUACCCGAAUAAGAAGGUCCGGCUAACUUCGUGCCAGCAGCCGCGGUAAUACGAAGGGACCUAGCGUAGUUCGGAAUUACUGGGCUUAAAGAGUUCGUAGGUGGUUAAAAAAGUUGGUGGUGAAAUCCCAGAGCUUAACUCUGGAACUGCCAUCAAAACUUUUUAGCUAGAGUAUGAUAGAGGAAAGCAGAAUUUCUAGUGUAGAGGUGAAAUUCGUAGAUAUUAGAAAGAAUACCAAUUGCGAAGGCAGCUUUCUGGAUCAUUACUGACACUGAGGAACGAAAGCAUGGGUAGCGAAGAGGAUUAGAUACCCUCGUAGUCCAUGCCGUAAACGAUGUGUGUUAGACGUUGGAAAUUUAUUUUCAGUGUCGCAGCGAAAGCAUUAAACACACCGCCUGGGGAGUACGACCGC